AACGUAGGUGGCAAGCGUUAUCCGGAUUUACUGGGCGUAAAGCGUGUGCAGGCGGUCAUGUAAGUGGUGUAUGAAAUCUCCGCGCUUAACGUGGAGGGGUUAUGCCAGACUGCAUGACUAGAACCCAUCAGAGGGAAGUGGAAUUCCGGGUGUAGUGGUGAAAUGCGUAGAGAUCCGGAGGAACACCAGAGGCGAAAGCGACUUCCUGGACCAAUACUGACGCUCAUGUGCGAAAGCGUGGGGAGCAAACAGG
rnacentral:rRNA from 1 species